UAACCUGCCCAAGAGAUCGGGAUAACACCUGGAAACAGAUGCUAAUACCGGAUAACAACAGAUGAUGCCUAUCAACUGUUUAAAAGAUGGUUCUGCUAUCACUCUUGGAUGGACCUGCGUGCAUUAGCUAGUUGGUAGGGUAACGGCCUACCAAGGCGAUGAUGCAUAGCCGAGUUGAGAGACUGAUCGGCCACAUUGGGACUGAGACACGGCCCAAACUCCUACGGGAGGCAGCAGCA
rnacentral:rRNA from 1 species